rnacentral:rRNA from 1 species
UACGAAGGGGGCUAGCGUUGCUCGGAAUCACUGGGCGUAAAGGGUGCGUAGGCGGUUCUUUAAGUCAGGUGUGAAAUCCUGGAGCUCAACUCCAGAACUGCCUUUGAUACUGAAGAUCUUGAGUUCGGGAGAGGUGAGUGGAACUGCGAGUGUAGAGGUGAAAUUCGUAGAUAUUCGCAAGAACACCAGUGGCGAAGGCGGCUCACUGGCCCGAUACUGACGCUGAGGCACGAAAGCGUGGGGAGCAAACAGG